UACGUAGGGUGCGAGCGUUAAUCGGAAUUACUGGGCGUAAAGCGUGCGCAGGCGGGCUUUUAAGCCAGACGUGAAAUCCCCGGGCUUAACCUCGGGAAUGGCGUUUGGGACUGGAAGUCUGGAGUGCGGGCAGAGGAGACUGGAAUUCCUGGUGGUAGCAGUGAAAUGCGUAGAGUAUCAGGAGGAACACCGAUGGCGAAGGCAGGUCUCUGGGCUGACACUGACGCUCAUGCACGAAAGCGUGGGGAGCAAACAGG
rnacentral:rRNA from 1 species